rnacentral:rRNA from 1 species
UGGGGAAUAUUGGACAAUGGGCGCAAGCCUGAUCCAGCCAUGCCGCGUGAGUGAUGAAGGCCCUAGGGUUGUAAAGCUCUUUCACCGGUGAAGAUAAUGACGGUAACCGGAGAAGAAGCCCCGGCUAACUUCGUGCCAGCAGCCGCGGUAAUACGAAGGGGGCUAGCGUUGUUCGGAUUUACUGGGCGUAAAGCGCACGUAGGCGGACUUUUAAGUCAGGGGUGAAAUCCCGGGGCUCAACCCCGGAACUGCCUUUGAUACUGGAAGUCUUGAGUAUGGUAGAGGUGAGUGGAAUUCCGAGUGUAGAGGUAAAAUUCGUAGAUAUUCGGAGGAACACCAGUGGCGAAGGCGGCUCACUGGACCAUUACUGACGCUGAGGUGCGAAAGCGUGGGGAGCAAACAG